GAGGAAUUUUGCGCAAUGGGGGCAACCCUGACGCAGCAACGCCGCGUGAGUGAUGAAGGCCUUUGGGUCGUAAAACUCUGUCAGCAGGAAAGAAGUUAUAUGUGGUUAAUACCCAUGUAUAUUGACGGUACCUGCAAAGGAAGCACCGGCUAACUCCGUGCCAGCAGCCGCGGUAACACGGAGGGUGCAAGCGUUAUUCGGAAUUAUUGGGCGUAAAGGGCGCGUAGGCGGCCGAACAGGUCAGAUGUGAAAGCCCGGGGCUUAACCCCGGAAGUGCAUUUGAAACCUUUUGGCUUGAGUAUGGGAGAGGAGAGCGGAAUUCCUGGUGUAGAGGUGAAAUUCGUAGAUAUCAGGAGGAACACCGGUGGCGAAGGCGGCUCUCUAGACCAAUACUGACGCUGAGGCGCGAAGGCGUGGGUAGCAAAC
rnacentral:rRNA from 1 species